UUGGUCAUGCCACCGGAUUCGCGCACCAUCAGACAGCGUUGUGACUGCGGUGGAUGCUCCACGUUGUUGCCCUUCGACUUUUCAAACUGGUAUUUUCAAAACUGCAGCUCUUUGCGCCAGAAGUACGAGUUAGUUGUACAGAAGUGACAACACUGUUGAUCGCCAUCUCUACAAUUCAGAUAAAAUGAACAGAAAGAAUGGGCCUGUCUCCAGCUCCACCAUUAGACGGAGGGUCCGUC